GUUGGUUUCCUUAAUUUGAUGAUGAAAAAAAUAGAAAUUUGAAGAAGCAGUCUUCUCUCUCUCCGUGAAAACUCAUGCUCUGUUUUCAUAGUGGAUUCAGAGUGUUGAACUUUCGCUAGUGUCGUUAAAGGCGUGCACAUGGCUUUAACCCCAACAGCUACUAGUGAUAGGUGGGCGACCUUUAUAGGCCCAGGCAUGCAUCUUGUUCCAGGUGCAAAGCUCUGGAAAAGUUUACCUUCUUAAUUUCCACCUCCAGUAAGCACUUCCAUCAGCAAAAGACACUACAACUAGGCCAAGAAUUCGCUGAUCCACAAGAAUCCGGUGUUAACGCAUUGGAAAGUUGCCAGAAUCUCAUCAAACCACCAAAAUUGAUUGCUGACCGCCCAUAUUUCCUUUUCAACAAUGGCACUCCUUUAAUCCCUAUCAUCACUCCUUGUUUCCAAACUUCUCUCAUCUUCUUUUGCUGUAGGACUCCUCUGUUUCUAGGUUAUUUGAAAUUAGAUGUUUUUCUUUAAACACCAUUGAUGGUGCUAUUUAGGUCCUUGAUUUAGGAUUUUCUGAAAUUGCUAUUUUUUUUAAAAAAAAAUGUUAUUUAGGUCCUUUAUUUCUUGAUUAUUUAUCCUCUGUUUUUGAGUUAUCUAAAUUUGCUUCUUUUUUUAAUCUUUUUUCUAAUAAAAUUAACAAUAGUAGAAUACUAUUUGGGUAUGUUUUUGGAUAUCCA
rnacentral:misc_RNA from 1 species